AUACUUACCUGGCAGGGAUGAUACCAUGAUCAAGAAGGUGGUUCGUCCAGAGUGAGGCUCAGCCAUUGCACUGAGGCUGUUCUGACCUCUGUGAAUUCCCCAAAUGUGGGAAUCUCAACUGCAUAAUUUGUGAUAGUGGGGACUGCGUUCGCGCUCUCCCCUA
rnacentral:snRNA from 1 species